AGGUAUAGCUCAGUGGUAGAGUGCAUGCUUAGCAUGCAGGAGGUUCUGGGUUCGAUCCCCAGUACCU
rnacentral:tRNA from 1 species